rnacentral:snRNA from 1 species
GGAUGUGAGGGUGACCUGGCUGCGACAUCUGUCACCCUAUUGAUCGCCAGGGUUGAUUCGGCUGAUCUGGCUGGCUAGGCGGGUAUCCCCGUCCCUCCCCACCACUCCAUGUGCGUCCCCCCUGAAGCUGCGUGCUCAAUCAAAGGGGACGACCAUCCCCAAUAGAGGAGGACCGUCCUUCGGUCAAGGGUAUAUGAAAAACUACGCUCCCCUGCUAGAACCUCCAAACAAGCUCUCAAGUAGGAAGGCCAGACAUGUCCAGGGCCUCUCACCAUGGUGUGACACCAGGAGGU